CCCUGCUCAUCUUGCUUAGCGUCGGCAAGCCCCGUCCGCCGCUCAAGCUCGCCCCAGUUGCCUUCCAGCCACCUUUUUGCUUCUCUCGCAGCUUCGCGGCAUCGCUACGCACUGGUUAAGCUGCACGGGUGCCUUGGUGCUGCUCUCUCCCAACGUUGCCACCGUUUCUCUGCAUCGCCAGUGCUCCGCCGUGCCCCUCACCGUGGCCAUGCCACCUCAGACCUUCUCGCAGCAAGCCGUGGUCACCAGAGGGUGCACAUAGGCCCAACCAUGCUCCAGCACCUCUCCCUUGUCGCCAACAGACGUUCACCGG
rnacentral:lncRNA from 1 species